CCCCUAGACGUUCUGGGCUGCACGCGAGCUACAAUAAUACGCACAGCGAGUAUCACCGAGCUCGAAAGGGCAAGGUAAACAAUAGAAAAGGUACUGUAAUGGUUAUAGAUCCUUGUAAUUAUUGAUCUUCAACGAGGAAUUCCUAGUAAGUAUGUGUCAUCAUCACGCACUGAUUACGUCCCUGCCCUUUGUACACACCGCCCGUCGCUCCUACCGAUUGAGUGAGCCGAUGAAACUGCCGGAUGUGGACUAUUCAUAGUCUGCAGAAGAUAUUUGAAUCGUAGCGCUUAGAGGAAGGAGAAGUCGUAACA
rnacentral:rRNA from 1 species